AGCUCAGUUGGUAGAGUGCUUGCCUCGCAUGCAUGAGGCCCUGGGCUCGACCCCCAG
rnacentral:tRNA from 1 species